rnacentral:rRNA from 1 species
CCUACGGGAGGCAGCAGUGAGGAAUAUUGGUCAAUGGGCGAGAGCCUGAACCAGCCAAGUCGCGUGAGGGAGUACUGCCCUAUGGGUUGUAAACCUCUUUUGUCGGGGAGCAAAAGCCGGACGUGUCCGGCUGUGAGAGUACCCGAAGAAAAAGCAUCGGCUAACUCCGUGCCAGCAGCCGCGGUAAUACGGGGGAUGCGAGUGUUAUCCGGAUUUAUUGGGGUUAAAGGGUGCGCAGGCGGAUUUUUAAGUCAGCGGUCAAAUCGUGGGGCUCAACCCCAUCCAGCCGUUGAAACUGGGGAUCUAGAGUGUGCGAGAGGUAUGCGGAAUGCGUGGUGUAGCGGUGAAAUGCAUAGAUAUCACGCAGAACCCCGAUUGCGAAGGCAGCAUACCGGUGCACAACUGACGCUCAGGCACGAAAGCGUGGGUAUCGAACAGGAUUAGAUACCCGGGUAGUC